rnacentral:rRNA from 1 species
GACGAACGCUGGCGGCGUGCUUAACACAUGCAAGUCGAACGGAAAGGCUCCAGCUUGCUGGAGUACUCGAGUGGCGAACGGGUGAGUAACACGUGGGUAAUCUGCCCUGCACUCUGGGAUAAGCCUGGGAAACUGGGUCUAAUACUGGAUAUGACCUUUCUCCUUAUGGGGUUUGGUGGAAAGUUUUUCGGUGUAGGAUGGGCCCGCGGCCUAUCAGCUUGUUGGGGGGGUGAUGGCCUACCAAGGCGACGACGGGUAGCCGGCCUGGGAGGGUGAUCGGCCACAUUGGGACUGAGAUACGGCCCAGACUCCUACGGGAGGCAGCAGUGGGGAAUAUUGCACAAUGGGCGGAAGCCUGAUGCAGCGACGCCGCGUGAGGGAUGACGGCCUUCGGGUUGUAAACCUCUUUCAGCAGGGACGAAGCGUAAGUGACGGUACCUGCAGAAGAAGCACCGGCUAACUAUGUG